CAACCGUUUCUGUUACAACUAAACGGAUCUUUGAAGAUGGCGCUAUAGAGGGUGGAGCGACAGACAGCCCAUAAAAGAAACCUGCCCCCUAAGGCAGUAGCGAUUUUGUGGGCCAUUACGUGAGCUCGUGGUGGAUCGUUGGCGUUGGCGUAUUGGCUGCAAGUGCCGGACUUCUUCCACCAACUUUGAGACAGCAGCAGGAGGGGACCAGACUGGAUUGCAGAAAACUUCCGAGGAGUGUGGAGUGCUGCACAAGUGACUUGUUUCAGAUUGCUAUAUAAUCCAUUUCUUUCAAACCUGUGGAGGUGUGUGUCCGAACUUGAUUUCCUCAUUGCUGUCAAUUUUCAGGUAAGGUAUACAGUGACUGGGUCAAGAUUCCUUUCUGAUAAAUGAUAGAAUUUCAUAUCAAUUAGGGAUUCAAGCUUUCAAUACAUGAGAAUACCAAACCUCAGAGUGGGGAUCUUCUAAACAAAGUUUACACUUCCGGAGUUGUCUGCUAUGGCAUAUGUUUUGGAAUAUGGUUUUUCCCUGCAGCCAUUUUAUAGUAAGCCUUAUGAUUUAUACUUCUUAAUAACAUCUGUAGAGUAAAUGCCUGCCUCAUGUAGUUUUCACUCUUGGUGCUUUGCAAAUUGCCUCUUGGAUUGCUUUGGAGUCAGACAGACCUCAGUGUAAGCCAGAUUCACCAGUAACUAACUUUCUUUUCUUUUUCCUGAGACAGAGUCUCACUCUGUUACCCAGGCUGGAGUGUAGUGGUACAAUCACAGAUCAGUGCAGCCUUGACCUUCUGGACUCAAGUGAUCCUCCCACCUCAGCCUCCUAACUGGGACUACAUGUGUGUUAUUAUGCUCAGCUAAUUUUUUAUUUUUUGUAGAACUCCUGGUGGUUCUCAAAAUCCUGGGCUCAAGUGAUCCUCCAACCUCAGCCUUUGGAGUAAGUGGGGCUACAUGUGUGUGUCACCACACUUGGCUAAUUUUUUAUUUUCUGUAGAGUGGGGUCUCACUAUGUCGCCCAGGCUAUUCUCAAACUCCUGGGCUCAAGCAGUCCUCCCACUUCCACCUCCCAAAGUGCUGAGAUUAUAAGCAUGAGCCACUGUACCUGGCCAUCAGUAAUUUUCGAUCCUUAGUUCCUAACUCUUUGGGCCUCAGUUUUCCUUAUCUGCAAAACAGGAAUCCCUCUUUGCUAUCAGGAUGUUGUAAGAAUCAAGUGUGAUAAUCUUUGUAAUGCAUCUAGUACACAAUAGGUACUCGUGAAUGAGCCCUCCAUUUCCUAAAUGCACGUAUUGGAGGGAGGACAUACAGUGCUUGGUUUAGCACCUCUCCCACCUUACUUUAUUUAUUUUCUUUCCAUUCUCAGGUACAGCAUAUUCCGCAGAGAUUAUACUGUCUUCUCUUGGGAAACCACAACCCUAUAAUCUGGCUAAGGAUCUCAGAGUUUUUCUUGCUCUGAGCUGAGUUCUGUUCUGACCACAUUACACUGAGGCUAGCAUCAUGGUUCAGCAACCAGCAGGACUCUUGUUAUCUGGGUUGGAGGGUGCCUAUUCAUUAGCAGUCCUAGAAAUUUCCUUCCUCACCUAUAAAAAGUCACAUUUGGGUUGUGAUUAGUUCAUUGAAGAUUAGGU